rnacentral:rRNA from 1 species
GCGCACCAGUCGCGAAUCCUUCGCAAUGCAGGAAACUGCGACGAGGGAACUCCAAGUGCCUACGCUCAGCGUAGGCUGUUCUCAAGCCUAGAAAGCUUGAGGAGUAAGGGCUGGGUAAGACGGGUGCCAUCGUGGUGGUAGCAGUCAAUAGAUUCGAUUUGUUACUGCAAGGCAUAAGCCGCCGCGGUAAUACCCCGCAGCCCCAAGUGGUGGCCGCUUUUAUUGGGGCCUAAAGCGUCCGUAGCCGGCCCGGUAAAUGCCUGGGGUAAAU